AGUGAACGCUGGCGGUAGGCCUAACACAUGCAAGUCGAACGGCAGCACAGUAAGAGCUUGCUCUUACGGGUGGCGAGUGGCGGACGGGUGAGGAAUACAUCGGAAUCUACUUUUUCGUGGGGGAUAACGUAGGGAAACUUACGCUAAUACCGCAUACGACCUACGGGUGAAAGCAGGGGAUCUUCGGACCUUGCGCGAUUGAAUGAGCCGAUGUCGGAUUAGCUAGUUGGCGGGGUAAAGGCUCACCAAGGCGACGAUCCGUAGCUGGUCUGAGAGGAUGAUCAGCCACACUGGAACUGAGACACGGUCCAGACUCCUACGGGAGGCAGCAGUGGGGAAUAUUGGUCAAUGGGCGCAAGCCUGAUCCAGCCAUACCGCGUGGGUGAAGAAGGCCUUCGGGUUGUAAAGCCCUUUUGUUGGGAAAGAAAAGCAGCAGGUUAAUACCCCGCUGUUCUGACGGUACCCAAAGAAUAAGCACCGGCUAACUUCGUG
rnacentral:rRNA from 1 species